AUAAACGGAUGUUUUCGCAAUCAAAGCGGUCAGGAAAACAAAAACAAAAUUAUUUGACUGAACAUGCAUUUUAUUGACUGAAAAAAAAGGUGGCUCAGAACCGAGCAACACACAGGAAGCAAUGCCUGGAAAGAGGUGAUUGCGCACAAAAGGAAAAAUCUUAUCCUAAUGGCAAUGUGAAACCGUGAUCUCAUCGGGUUCAACUCGGUUACACCCCAUAUGUCCUCAAGACCUUCCG
rnacentral:lncRNA from 1 species